GCCUUGAUGGUGAAAUGGGAGACACGCGAGACUCAAAAUCUCGUGCUGAAGAGCGUGGAGGUUCGAGUCCUCUUCAAGGCA
rnacentral:tRNA from 1 species